rnacentral:rRNA from 1 species
UACGUAGGUGGCAAGCGUUGUCCGGAUUUACUGGGCGUAAAGGGCGUGCAGGCGGUUUGUUAAGUGCAGGGUGAAAGCUCCCGGCUCAACUGGGAGAGGUCCUUGCAUACUGGCGAACUCGAGGGAGGCAGAGGAAAGUGGAAUUCCCGGUGUAGUGGUGAAAUGCGUAGAUAUCGGAGGAACACCAGUGGCGAAGGCGGCUUCCUGGCCUGUUCGUUGACGCUGAGGCGCGAAAGCUA